rnacentral:rRNA from 1 species
UGUUCUUGAAACCCAAAGAAUUUGGCGGUAUUUUAUUUCUUUUAGAGGAACCUGUCCUGUAAUUGAUAAUCCACGAUAGUAGUCACUUAUUUUUGUUUUCAAUUUGUAUACCUCCGUCAUCAGAGUAUCCUUUUAGGGUUAUAAAUAUUCUUAAUAUAAAAAAUAUUAUAUGUCAGGUCAAGGUGCAAUUUAUGAAUAAGUAGAGAUGGGUUACAAUAAACUUAUUUAAACGGAUUAUUAUUUUUAUGAAUAAUAUGAAGGUGGAUUUAAAAGUAAAAUUAUUUUAUUUGUUGAUUUGACUAUAGCUCUAAAAUAUGCACACAUCGCCCGUCGCUCUUAUUUUAAAAUAAGAUAAGUCGUAACAUAGUAGGUGUACCGGAAGGUGUACCUAGUA